rnacentral:tRNA from 1 species
CUGCGCAUAGGGUAGUGGCCAUCACGCCGGUUUUGGGUAUCGGAUGUUGGUUCGAGCCCGACCGCCCUGACCA